rnacentral:lncRNA from 1 species
UAAAACAAUGUUCAUUGAGCAUGUGUGACCAUUAUAGAUUUCCCUGAUCUUAAACGUUUUCAUUUCUCCCAAGCGUGAAGACCUAAAUAUCCACUUGCAAUCAUCUUGGAAACACUUUAUUACGUACUCUUUUUUGUCCAAUCUCAACACCUUAUAUUCAAAUUUGUUUUGUAUGGCAUAGAGGGCCAAGCUCAUUUUCAGUACUUUCUUAUUGCAGAAAACAUUUCCCUCCACUACUUCUCUAGCAUUUACUUGAGAUAUCAAUAUCACAUCUUAU